rnacentral:rRNA from 1 species
AAUGAACGCUGGCGGCGUGCCUUAUACAUGCAAGUCGUACGAGAAACCCAUAGCUUGCUAUGGGGAGUAAAGUGGCGCACGGGUGAGUAACGCGUGGGUAACCUACCCUUAAGACUGGGAUAACAUCUCGAAAGGGGUGCUAAUACCGGAUAAGACCACAUGGGCUUAGGCCUGUGGGGUAAAAGGUGGCCUCUCGAUGAAGCUAUCGCUUAUGGAUGGGCCCGCGUACUAUUAGCUAGUUGGUGGGGUAAUGGCCUACCAAGGCGACGAUAGUUAGCUGGUCUGAGAGGAUGAUCAGCCACACUGGAACUGGAACACGGUCCAGACUCCUACGGGAGGCAGCAGUAAGGAAUUUUGCGCAAUGGGGGAAACCCUGACGCAGCAACGCCGCGUGAGUGAUGAAGGUCUUCGG